rnacentral:rRNA from 1 species
CAGCAGCCGCGGUAAUACGUAGGGGGCGAGCGUUCCCCGGAUUCACUGGGCGUAAAGGGGGUGUAGGCGGCUCGGUAAGUCGGGUGUGAAAUCCCACGGCUCAACCGUGGAAUUGCGCCCGAAACUGCCGAGCUUGGGGCCGGUAGAGGGAGACGGAACUGCCGGUGUAGGGGUGAAAUCCGUAGAUAUCGGCAGGAACGCCGGUGGGGAAGCCGGUCUCCUGGGCCGCGCCCGACGCUGAGGCCCGAAAGCUAGGGGAGCAAACCGGAUUAGAUCCCCGGGUAGUCCUAGCCGUAAACGAUGCCCACUAGGUGUGGGGGAGUAUUUCCUCCGUGCCGAAGCUAACGCAUUAAGUGCCCCGCCUGGGGAGUACGGCCGCAAGGUUGAAACUUAAAGGAAUUGGCGGG